rnacentral:rRNA from 1 species
UACGGAGGAUCCAAGCGUUAAUCGGAAUUACUGGGCGUAAAGGGCGCGUAGGCGGUUAAGUAAGUCGGAUGUGAAAUCCCCGGGCUCAACCUGGGAAUUGCAUUCGAUACUGCUUAGCUAGAGUGUGGAAGAGGGAAGCGGAAUUUCCGGUGUAGCGGUGAAAUGCGUAGAUAUCGGAAGGAACACCAGUGGCGAAGGCGGCUUCCUGGUCCAACACUGACGCUGAGGCGCGAAAGCGUGUGGAGCAAACAGG